CUGUGCUAGGCGGGGAGUUAGCGAUGCCCUGUACUUGCAAUUCGCUUCAGCAAGGCUGAAUGUCCCCCGCGGUCUGUGCCGUGGGAGGCUGCGCAGCGCAAGGGAUGUUGAUAGCAAGGUCUUAUGCAACGGACUGCCGUGAACCGUGUCAGGGUAGGGAUACAGCAGCACUAAGCGGUGAGGUUCGUGUGCCAUAAGGUAGCUUUGGAGGAGUUACCUGCGCUGUUUCCGCUCCGGCGGUGUUUAUCAACGGGGAAUGCACAG
rnacentral:SRP_RNA from 1 species